rfam:Setosphaeria turcica Et28A unplaced genomic scaffold SETTTscaffold_26, whole genome shotgun sequence.
GGGCUCGUGGCUUAAUGGUAGAGCGUGGGACUGCAGUUCUCCUGAAACCGCUUUCCCAAGGUCACCGGUUCGAUUCCGGUCGGGCCCU